AGAUUGAACGCUGGCGGCAGGCCUAACACAUGCAAGUCGAGCGGUAGAGAGGUGCUUGCAUCUCUUGAGAGCGGCGGACGGGUGAGUAAUGCCUAGGAAUCUGCCUAGUGGCGGGGGAUAACGUUCGGAAACGGACGCUAAUACCGCAUACGUCCUACGGGAGAAAGCGGGGGACCUUCGGGCCUCGCGCCAUUAGAUGAGCCUAGGUCGGAUUAGCUAGUUGGUGAGGUAAUGGCUCACCAAGGCGACGAUCCGUAACUGGUCUGAGAGGAUGAUCAGUCACACUGGAACUGAGACACGGUCCAGACUCCUACGGGAGGCAGCAGUGGGGAAUAUUGGACAAUGGGCGAAAGCCUGAUCCAGCCAU
rnacentral:rRNA from 1 species